UACGGAGGGUGCAAGCGUUAUCCGGAUUCACUGGGUUUAAAGGGUGCGUAGGUGGGUUGAUAAGUCAGCGGUGAAAUCCCCGAGCUUAACUUGGGAACUGCCAUUGAUACUAUUGAUCUUGAAUACCGUGGAGGUCAGCGGAAUAUGUCAUGUAGCGGUGAAAUGCUUAGAUAUGACAUAGAACACCGAUUGCGAAGGCAGCUCACUAAGCCAUAACUGACGCUGAUGCACGAAAGCGUGGGGAGCAAACAGG
rnacentral:rRNA from 1 species